AUUGAACGCUGGCGGCAGGCCUAACACAUGCAAGUCGAACGAGUGGCGGACGGGUGAGUAAUUUCUGGGAAACUGCAUGAUGGAGGGGGAUAACUACUGGAAACGGUAGCUAAUCCCGCAUACCAUCGGAUUUGCCCAGAUGGGAAUAGCUCGUAGGUAUGGUACAGGCUCACCUAGGCAAGGAUCCCUAGCUGGUCUGAGAGGAUGAACAGCAACACUGGACCUGAGACACGGUGCAGACUCUGACGGGAGGCAGAAGUGGUGAAUAUUGCACAGUGGGCGCAAGCCUGAUCCAGCCAUGCCGGGUGUAUGAAGAAGGCCUUCGGGUUGUAAAGUACUUUCAGCGGGGAUGCGUUACCCGAAGCAGAAGCACCGGCUCACUCCGUGCCAGCAGCCGCGGUAAUUC
rnacentral:rRNA from 1 species